GUAGUUUGAUCGUGGCUCAGAUUGAACGCUGGCGGCAUGCCUUACACAUGCAAGUCGAACGGCAGCAUGAUCUAGCUUGCUAGAUUGAUGGCGAGUGGCGAACGGGUGAGUAAUACAUCGGAACGUGCCCUGUAGUGGGGGAUAACUAGUCGAAAGAUUAGCUAAUACCGCAUACGACCUGAGGGUGAAAGUGGGGGACCGCAAGGCCUCAUGCUAUAGGAGCGGCCGAUGUCUGAUUAGCUAGUUGGUGGGGUAAAGGCCCACCAAGGCGACGAUCAGUAGCUGGUCUGAGAGGACGAUCAGCCACACUGGGACUGAGACACGGCCCAGACUCCUACGGGAGGCAGCAGUGGGGAAUUUUGGACAAUGGGCGAAAGCCUGAUCCAGCAAUGCCGCGUGUGUGAAGAAGGCCUGGUUGUAAGC
rnacentral:rRNA from 1 species